rnacentral:rRNA from 1 species
CGGCGCCCCAAGUGGUGACCAUAUUUAUUGGGCCUAAAGCGUCUGUAGCCGGAUCAAAAAGUCCUUGGUGAAAUCCUGAUUCUUAAAAUUAGGGCGUGCUAGGGAUACUAUUGGUCUAGGGACCGGGAAGGGUAGAAGGUAUUCCAUGGGUAGGGGUAAAAUCCUUUAAUCCAUGGAGGACCACCGGUGGCGAAGGCGUUCUACUGGAACGGGUCCGACGGUGAGAGACGAAAGCGUGGGUAGCAAAUCGGAUUAGAUACCCGUGUAGUCC